AAGUGGCCCAGCAAGGCGUGGCCUUGGCCAAGGCUGGGCUCAGAGUGCAGGAGGAAUUAGCUUAAGACUUGCAAAAACAAGAGGGGGCCUGCACCUAAGCACAGCCCCAAGGCAACUGGGAGAUGGUGCCCGGGAGUAUCUUCCCACACAGACACCCAGCAUAUCCCCGCCCUGUGCUCUGCGCCAACGAAGACCCCUGUCUCCACCAGUGACCUGGUGGAGGGGCCACAGAUCCUGAGACACUGUCCUCAGAUGAUGGAUACUUGGCAAAGAAAUAAGGGCUUCCCAUAUCAAAGCCACUGGAUAGCCGCCUCCACCGAUCUGAGGAGCAAGAAGAUGAGAAGCCGAGACUCAGAGCACGGUGAAGCUCUGCCAUCUCUGUAACUCUUCGUACUACCCUAACAACUGCAACUGAGAAGCGACCUCUCAGUCUGCCCAGAGUGAAGAGGCUGGACACAUGGGCCUGGGAGCCUGACAACUCUGACUUUCCCCCUGCCUCGCCACUUAGGACCUGUGUUCCAGCUCAGUUACUUUCAUUCCCAAACUGUUUUGUCACCCGAAAAAAGGGAAAAUAAAAUACUCCCUACGGGGCCGUUGCGGACAACGUGAUGACAUUUUAAAUGGCCGGCGGUGCCUGGUUUGUGGGUGUUCGCAAACGCCUGCCAUCCGUCCUGGUUGCUACUACUGGUGGCAGGCUGGUCCUGACCACGUCCUUCCCCACCCACCACGCCCAGUGCUGCUUUUUCC